CCCCUAGUAACUGCGAGUGAAGCGGGAAAAGCUCAAAUUUAAAAUCUGGCGGUUUAUUAGCUGUCCGAGUUGUAGUCUGGAGAAGUGCUUUCCGUGCUGGACCGUGUACAAGUCCCUUGGAACAGGGCGUCAUAGAGGGUGAGAAUCCCGUCUUUGACACGGACUACCAGUGCUUUGUGAUGCGCUCUCAAAGAGUCGAGUUGUUUGGGAAUGCAGCUCAAAAUGGGUGGUAAAUUCCAUCUAAAGCUAAAUACAGGCGAGAGACCGAUAGCGAACAAGUACCGUGAGGGAAAGAUGAAAAGCACUUUGGAAAGAGAGUUAAACAGUACGUGAAAUUGCUGAAAGGGAAACGCUUGAAGUCAGUCGCGUUGUCCGGAAAUCAGCCUUGCUUUCGCUUGGUGUAUUUUCUGGUUGACGGGCCAGCAUCGAUUUUGACCGUUGGAUAAAGGUGAGGGGAAUGUGGCACCUUCGGGUGUGUUAUAGCCCUUUGUCACAUACAACGGUUGGGAUCGAGGAACUCAGCACGCCUUUAUGGUCGGGGUUCGCCCACGUUCGUGCUUAGGAUGCUGGCAUAAUGGCUUUAAACGACCCGUCUUGAAACACGGACCAAGGAGUCUAACAUGCCUGCGAGUGUUUGGGUGGUAAACCCGAGCGCGUAAUUAAAGUAAAAGUUGAGAUCCCCUUCGCAAGGGAGCAUCGACGCCCGGACUUGACCUUUUGUGAUAGCUCUGCGGUAGAGCAUGUAUGUUGGGACCCGAAAGAUGGUGAACUAUGCCUGAAUAGGGUGAAGCCAGAGGAAACUCUGGUGGAGGCUCGUAGCGAUUCUGACGUGCAAAUCGAUCGUCAAAUUUGGGUAUAGGGGCGAAAGAC
rnacentral:rRNA from 1 species